rnacentral:lncRNA from 1 species
CGGUGGUUUUACAACAGGAGGAAUUGCAACAGGUGGAGUUGCGGUUGGAGGUGUUGCGGUGGGCGAUGUUUCAACUGGUGGUUUUGCAAUAGGUGGCAGUACAGUGGGCGGUUUUGCGAUUGGCGGUGUUGCAACCGGCGGUUUUUCUACAGGUGGAUUUGCUAUAGGUGGAGUUGCAACAGGCGGUUUUGCGGUAGGUGGAGUUGCUAUUGGUGGCAUUGCAACAGGUGGAGUUGCGGUGGGCGGUGUUGUCGUUGGAGGUUUUGCAAUAGGAGGAGUUGCAACUGGUGAAGUUGCGGUGGGCGGUGUUACAACCGGUGGUGUUGCAAUAGGAGAAGUUGCAAUAGGUGGAGUUGCGGUGGGCGGUGUUGCAACUGGCGGUUUUGCGACGGGUGGAGUUGCUAUUGGUGGAAUUGCAACAGGCGGUUUUGCGGGUGGUGGAGUUUUUAUAGGUGGUAUUGCAACUGGUGGUUUUGCAACAGGAGAAGUUGCAAUUGGUGGUGUUGCGGUGGGCGGUGUUGCAACUGGCGGUUUUGCGAUGGGUGGAGUUGCUAUUGGUGGAGUUGCAACAGGAGGUUUUGCGGGUGGUGGAGUUGUGAUAGGUGGUGUUGCGGCUGGUGGUGUUGCAACUGGUGGUUUUGAAAUAGGAGGAGUUAAGAUUGGUGGCUUUGCGGUAGGUGGAGUUGCUAUUGGUGGUGUUGCAACCGGUGGUUUUGCAACAGGUGGAGUUGCGGUGGGCGGUGCUGUAGUGGGUGGUGUUGCAACUGGUGGUUUUGCAAUAGGAGGAGUUGCAACUGGUGGUGUCGCGGUGGGCGGUGUUGCAACCGGUGAUUUUGCAAUAGGAGGAGUUGCAAUAGGUGGUGUUGCGGUGGGCGGUGUUACAACUGGGGGUUUUGCGACGGGUGGAAUUGCUAUCGGUGGAGUUGCAAUAGGCGGUUUUGCGGUAGGUGGAGUUGCUAUUGGUGGCAUUGCAACAGGUGGAGUUGCAGUAGGCGGUAUUGUCGUUGGAGGUUUUGCAAUAGGAGGAGUUGCAACUGGUGGAGUUGCGGUGGGCGGUGUUACAACCGGUGGUGUUGCAAUAGGAGGAGUUGCAAUAGGUGGAGUUGCGGUGGGCGGUGUUGCAACUGGCGGUUUUGCGACGGGUGGAGUUGCUAUUGGUGGAAUUGCAACAGGCGGUUUUGCAGGUGGUGGAGUUUUUAUAGGUGGUGUUGCAACUGGUGGUUUUGCAACAGGAGAAGUUGCAAUUGGUGGUGUUGCGGUGGGCGGUGUUGCAACUGGCGGUUUUGCGAUGGGUGGAGUUGCUAUUGGUGGAGUUGCAACAGGAGGUUUUGCGGGUGGUGGAGUUGUGAUAGGUGGUGUUGCGGCUGGUGGUGUUGCAACUGGUGAUUUUGAAAUAGGAGGAGUUGAGAUUGGUGGCUUUGCGGUAGGUGGAGUUGCUAUUGGUGGUGUUGCAACCGGUGGUUUUGCAACAGGUGGAGUUGCGGUGGGCGGUGUUGUAGUUGGUGGUGUUACAACUGGUGGUUUUGCAAUAGGAGGAGUUGCAACUGGUGGUGUCGCGGUGGGCGGUGUUGCAACCGGUGAUUUUGCAAUAGGAGGAGUUGCAAUAGGUGGUGUUGCGGUGGGCGGUGUUACAACUGGGGGUUUUGCGACGGGUGGAAUUGCUAACGGUGGAGUUGCAACAGGUGGUUUUACUGGUGUUGGAGUUGUUAUAGGUGGUGUUGCGGCUGGUGGUGUUGCAACUGGUGGUUUUGAAAUAGGAGGAGUUGAGAUUGGUGGCUUUGCGGUAGGUGGAGUUGCUAUUGGUGGUGUUUCAACUGGUGGUUUUGCAACAGGUGGAGUUGCGGUGGGCGGUGUUGUAGUGGGUGGUGUUGCAACCGGUGGUUUUUCAAUAGGAGGAGUUGCAACUGGUGGAGUCGCAGUGGGCGGUGUUGCAAUUGGCGAUUUUGCGAUGGGUGGAGUUGCAACAGGUGGUUUUGCGGGUGGUGGAGUUUUUAUUGGUGAUGUUGCGGUUGGUGGUGUUGCAACUGGUGAUUCUGAAAUAGGAGGAGUUGAGAUAGGUGAUUUUGAGGUAGGUGGAGUUGCUAUUGGUGGUGUUGCAACAGGUGGAGUUGCGGUGGGCGGUGUUGCAACUGGUGGCUGUGCAAUUGGAGUGACGGGUGGAG